rnacentral:rRNA from 1 species
GAUGAACGCUAGCGGGAGGCCUAACACAUGCUUGCCGAGCGGUAUUGUUUCUUCGGAAAUGAGAGAGCGGCGUACGGGUGCGGAACACGUGUGCAACCUGCCUUUAUCUGGGGGAUAGCCUUUCGAAAGGAAGAUUAAUACUCCAUAAUAUAUUGAACGGCAUCGUUUAAUAUUGAAAGCUCCGGCGGAUAGAGAUGGGCACGCGCAAGAUUAGCUAGUUGGUGAGGUAACGGCUCACCAAGGCGAUGAUCUUUAGGGGGCCUGAGAGGGUGAUCCCCCACACUGGUACUGAGACACGGACCAGACUCCUACGGGAGGCAGCAGUGAGGAAUAUUGGUCAAUGGGUGCAAGCCUGAACCAGCCAUCCCGCGUGAAGGACGACUGCCCUAUGGGUUGUAAACUUCUUUUGUAUAGGGAUAAACCUACCCUCGUGAGGGUAGCUGAAGGUACUAUACGAAUAAGCACCGGCUAACUCCGUGCCAGCAGCCGCGGUAAUACGGAGGGUGCAAGCGUUAUCCGGAUUUAUUGGGUUUAAAGGGUCCGUAGGCGGACUUAUAAGUCAGUGGUGAAAGCCUGUCGCUUAACGAUAGAACUGCCAUUGAUACUGUAAGUCUUGAGUAUAUUUGAGGUAGCUGGAAUAAGUAGUGUAGCGGUGAAAUGCAUAGAUAUUACUUAGAACACCAAUUGCGAAGGCAGGUUACCAAGAUAUAACUGACGCUGAGGGACGAAAGCGUGGGGAGCGAACAGGAUUAGAUACCCUGGUAGUCCACGCCGUAAACGAUGCUAACUCGUUUUUGGGCCUUAGGGUUCAGAGACCAAGCGAAAGUGAUAAGUUAGCCACCUGGGGAGUACGCUCGCAAGAAUGAAACUCAAAGGAAUUGACGGGGGCCCGCACAAGCGGUGGAUUAUGUGGUUUAAUUCGAUGAUACGCGAGGAACCUUACCAAGACUUAAAUGGGAAUUGACAGCUUUAGAAAUAGAGCUUUCUUCGGACAAUUUUCAAGGUGCUGCAUGGUUGUCGUCAGCUCGUGCCGUGAGGUGUUAGGUUAAGUCCUGCAACGAGCGCAACCCCUGUCACUAGUUGCCAUCAUUCAGUUGGGGACUCUAGUGAGACUGCCUACGCAAGUAGAGAGGAAGGUGGGGAUGACGUCAAAUCAUCACGGCCCUUACGUCUUGGGCCACACACGUAAUACAAUGGCCGGUACAGAGGGCAGCUACACAGCGAUGUGAUGCAAAUCUCGAAAGCCGGUCUCAGUUCGGAUUGGAGUCUGCAACUCGACUCUAUGAAGCUGGAAUCGCUAGUAAUCGCGCAUCAGCCAUGGCGCGGUGAAUACGUUCCCGGGCCU